AAUCCACUGGUAAGAGAGUAACCUCCAGCGUGGACUUGGCUGUGGACUUGGCUAUGAACUCAUCUCUCAGAGAACUUCCCCUUCUCAGAGAGAAACAAUUGCAUGUGUUUUAAGUGGUGCUGACUCCAACCCAUGUAUGUCAAAGAAGUGAAUCUGAUCAAAUCUAAGUACCUGGAUCCCUUGGCACAACGUAAAAUACAGGCUAAUGAGGACAAGCCCUGGAACUUCUCUUCCCUGAGUCAUUAAAAGAGAGAAGGUCCUUAACUUCCAAAUAAAGAGAUUUUCUAGCAUCAUGGAGCGAGAAUUCGUGUCCCCUCAAAGGUCCUUCCAGCCCAACUAAGAAUCAAAUAGACACGAGGCAGACCAACAGGAGAUCAAAUAGUGAACACAAAGGGAAUCCACAUAGACAUGGAAAUUCCAAAGACGGUCAGGAAAACAAGGAGAUCAUGAUUACCUGCCUUGAAGAAGGUUGGACCUGAACUUCUCCUUACAGGCAAAGAGUGAGGACACUUUUGUUCCCAAGGAAGAAAGGGGAAGCCCCAUAUUGUGGUUUGGGAACUGCAGAUAUUGGGAAGGUAGGAGUGGAUCUAAGUGGGGGGAAAAGGGUAAAGUUUUAAAACACAGACUUAUGCAUCUUCUUAGAUACCCCCAACUACCCCCCACUUUCCCUCUUCUUGGUUGCCAUGCCUCUCUGGGUUGUGGGUGAAACACUGGCCCACCAAGUAUGGGAUCCAACAUCCUGAAAAGCCUGGAAGCCAGGAUGAAGCAAUCCAAAGUGCAAGAGUCAGCUCCCCUGAAGGUAAAAUUGGACCAGGGAAAAAUGGAAACUUCAGGGAGCCAGGCAAAUAAGCUACUUCUCCUUUCUUUCUUCAGCAAACUAUCUGAGGCAUGGUUUCUCCUUGCCAGUCCUGAGCCACGUCACCCUUGCCGGUGCUCGGUAAAGGCACAGACAGCACAACAGCAUCCCAUCGCCUUGCUUAGUCUUCCCCUUCCUCACUUUCUUUCUUCCCUGGCAAUCACCAGGGCUUACACAACCUGAAGGAACUGCCGGCAUCUGGACUGGACAGCUGUGGCCAAGAGCACUCACCCCGCCAGCCACAUUCCUCGGAGUGGGAGCUUCAGGGAGGUUCUGUGGGGAAGACAAGCAGCAUGUCCCCGUGGCCAUGGGCCUCGGCCUCCUGGGAGCUUCCCGAGGCAUCAGCCGCUCAGGUCCUCUGUGGCCUCAAGCCUCUCCCCCCUGCCACUGGAUCCAUUGGAGCAGCUUUCACAGCUUUCCUUGAACAAACCUCCAGAUCCUGAGCUGUUCCAGCCUGACAGGCCGCAGAAGAUGACAAAGGGGGAGCACAGAGGGGUCCCUUCCAGGACUUGAUUUGAUGCUUAAAGAAUAAGAUAGUGAAGGAUGAGCCAAGAGAUGUAGUAUAUACCAAGAAUCUAUGGAACAUCAUCUUCUCCUACCAAUGGAGCUGCCAGAAAAAAAUACAUUGAGAAAGCAUCGCAGUCCCUCUCCAGAGUCAGUUGAAUUACGAGGGAUGGUGGUUGACAAGUAUAGAACCAUAUCUGUAUCAUUCUCCAUUGUUUUCCACUGCAUAGCUCAGUGCGUGGAAUAUGAUGUAUAAGUAUGUGUGUAUGAGUGGAUAUAAAUAUUCGUGAUUAGAGGGAUGGCUGGGUGGCUCAGUGGUUGAGCAUCUGCUUUCAGCUUAGGGCAUG